rnacentral:rRNA from 1 species
CCUACGGGAGGCUGCAGUGGGGAAUAUUGCACAAUGGGGGGAACCCUGAUGCAGCGACGCCGCGUGAGUGAAGAAGUAUUUCGGUAUGUAAAGCUCUAUCAGCAGGGAAGAAAAUGACGGUACCUGACUACGAAGCCCCGGCUAACUACGUGCCAGCAGCCGCGGUAAUACGUAGGGGGCAAGCGUUAUCCGGAUUUACUGGGUGUAAAGGGAGCGCAGACGGCUGUGCAAGUCUGGAGUGAAAGGCGGGGGCCCAACCCCCGGACUGCUCUGGAAACUGUAAAGCUGGAGUGCAGGAGAGGUAAGCGGAAUGCCUAGUGUAGCGGUGAAAUGCGUAGAUAUUAGGAGGAACACCAGUGGCGAAGGCGGCUUACUGGACUGCAACUGACGUUGAGGCUCGAAAGCGUGGGGAGCAAACAGGAUUAGAUACCCCGGUAGUC